rnacentral:rRNA from 1 species
UGAGGAAUACAUCGGAAUCUACCUUUUCGUGGGGGAUAACGUAGGGAAACUUACGCUAAUACCGCAUACGACCUUCGGGUGAAAGCAGGGGACCUUCGGGCCUUGCGCGGAUAGAUGAGCCGAUGUCGGAUUAGCUAGUUGGCGGGGUAAAGGCCCACCAAGGCGACGAUCCGUAGCUGGUCUGAGAGGAUGAUCAGCCACACUGGAACUGAGACACGGUCCAGACUCCUACGGGAGGCAGCAGUGGGGAAUAUUGGACAAUGGGCGCAAGCCUGAUCCAGCCAUACCGCGUGGGUGAAGAAGGCCUUCGGGUUGUAAAGCCCUUUUGUUGGGAAAGAAAAGCAGUCGAUUAAUACUCGGUUGUUCUGACGGUACCCAAAGAAUAAGCACCGGCUAACUUCGUGCCAGCAGCCGCGGUAAUACGAAGGGUGCAAGCGUUACUCGGAAUUACUGGGCGUAAAGCGUGCGUAGGUGGUUGUUUAAGUCUGUUGUGAAAGCCCUGGGCUCAACCUGGGAAUUGCAGUGGAUACUGGGCGACUAGAGUGUGGUAGAGGGUAGUGGAAUUCCCGGUGUAGCAGUGAAAUGCGUAAAGAUCGGGAGGAACAUCCAUGGCGAAGGCAGCUACCUGGAC